rnacentral:lncRNA from 1 species
CCUGGGUGGAGAGGCCUGCAGAGCGGGGUGGGAACGCAGCUGAAGGUGAGGGCUCCCGGCUAUGCUCGCACUGCUGCCCACAGUCUGUUGCAGAGAGGUGACAGAAUCACAUUUGACAAGCUACAGAGAAGUCCUACGUGGACUGACUGAAGGCCUGGAUAAGGACAGGAUCUUUCAGGAGAGACUGCAAGGAAAGUUGCCUUUUCUUGGGAGCUGUGAAAGUAGAAGAUGGAGGAGGAGGAUCUGCAAGAAUCAGCUAAGAAUAGGGAACAAUAGGGACUAGUGAGGAGCAGUGAGCAUCAGAACUGCAGAGAAAGAAAGAUGGAAAUCCAGGAGAAGAUACAACUGAAGGCACUAAUAUGAAUGUGACCUCACUUGAUUGCUUAUCUUUAUUGCUCUUCGUAGAUAAUAUGUUGUGUAGAGAGAGCUGGUCUUUUUUAAUAAGUUGGAAAAAAUAUUUAGAGGUGGUGGGGAGACCAGAGGAUAACUUGCAGAAGUCAGUGCUCUUCUCCCAUCAUGUUCUUCUCUGGGAUUAAAGAAGGAUCAGCAAUCUUGGCAACAGACACCUUUACCUGCUGAGCCAUCUUGCUGGCCUUUCUUUUUUUAAUUUAUUCAUGUGCAUUGGUGUUUUGCCUGCAUGUGUGUCUAUAUGAGAGUGUCAGAUCUUGGAGUUCUAGACAGUUGUGAGUUGCCAUGCAGGUGCUGAACCCAAGAUCUCUGGAAGAGCAGUCAGUGCCUCUAACUACUCAGCCCCCUCUUCCUUUUUUUUUUUUUUUUUUUUUUUUUUUUUUUUUUUUUUAGGUACAAAAUCCUAGGAUAUGGGCAGAGUUCAUUGUCAAUCUUGUGAAGAGGACUCACUGCUCCUGCUGCUGUUGAACAAGAUGUCAGCAUUCUGGGAGUUGAAGGGAGCAGAUUUCAGCCUUCACGGAUGCCUUUGAGUAGAGUUUUGUGAGGGAAAUACAGAAUGUGGCAAAAGUAGAAUUAGAAAUGGAUCCAGAGAUAUUACUGCAUUGUUCAAUCACCAGAUCAAACUCUAGCAGAUCAAAUUUGCUUCUCAUGGAUGACCAGGAAAUGGUUGCUUGAGGUGGAAUCCAUUCCUGGUGAGGUUAACAGUAAAGGAUUUAAGAGUGUCACAUCAACUUAAUUGACAAAGCACUGGGUCUGAGAGGCCUGACUUUGGGUUUGAAAUGGUUCUAUUUGAGGAAAAUGCUAUCAAGCAGCAUCACAUGUUACAAAGAAGUCUUGUGUGGAAAGGUCAGGGGCUAGCAAGAUGGCUAAGCAAGCAGAGUACUCGCUGAGCCAGCCUCAUGGCCUAUGUUCAAUCCUAAAAUCCAUAUAAAGGUGCAAAAAGAGAACCAACUGAGUUGUCCUCUGUCCACCGCAGGUGCUCCUACACUACACUAAUAAAAAGUUUUUUUUUUAAGUCA